rnacentral:rRNA from 1 species
AGAGCGAACGCUGGCGGCAGGCCUAACACAUGCAAGUCGAGCGGCCGUAGCAAUACGGCAGCGGCAGACGGGAGAGUAACACGUGGGAACGCGCCCUUCGGUUCGGAAUAACUCAGGGAAACUUGAGCUAAUACCGGAUACGCCCUUACGGGGAAAGAUUUAUUGCCGAAGGAACGGCCCGCGUCCGAUUAGCUUGUUGGUGAGGUAAUGGCUCACCAAGGCGACGAUCGGUAGCUGGUCUGAGAGGAUGACCAGCCUCACUGGGACUGAGACACGGCCCAGACUCCUACGGGAGGCAGCAGUGGGGAAUAUGGACAAUGGGCGCAAGCCUGAUCCAGCCAUGCCGCGUGGAUGAUGAAGGCCUUAGGGUUGUAAAGUCCUUUUAACGGGGAGAUAAUGACGGUACCGUAGAAUAAGCCCCGGCUAACUUCGCGCCAGCAGCCGC